UCCACCUCGCUGCCCCCACGCACCCCCUGUGCAGGGGAAACUUUCUCUUUCCCCUCCACUCGCCCCGCUUACGGGAACCCCCUAACGGGGCAAGAGGGCGGCAGCAGCAGCGUUCUUCCGGAUCUGGGUGGUGUGAGCGCGGUCAUGUUCCGGGACUCGGCGCGGGAGUGCGAGAGUUCGUGCAGCGGCUCCCCGGCAGCGUCGCCAUACCUGUCCCCCGCCUCCAGCUCCUCCUCCAGCUCCUCCUUCUCCUGCAGCCCCGCCCUCCCACAAGGCGCACAGGACUUCUCGCUGCCCUUCGUGCCGACCCUCACCGCCGUGGCGAGCAGCCCCGACCUCCGCUGGAUGGUCCAGCCCAGCGUCAUCACCUCCGCGGCGCGGCCCCCCGGGCCCCCCAUGGGCUACGCGCAUCAUCAGCCUCGUCAACAUCAGCAGCUUCAUCAUCAUCAGCCUCAUCAUCAUCAGCAGCAACAGCAGCUGCAACACGCUCUGCAGGGGGUUCCAUCGCGUCCGGGCGUCAUCCGCAUCGUGGCCUCGGCGCCCACGCGGAGAAAGAGGCCCGCAGAGGAGCUCAACCCCGAGGAGGACGAGAAGCGGAGAGUGCGGAGGGAGCGGAACAAACAAGCGGCGGCGAAAUGUCGACAUCGGCGUCGUGAGCUCACGGACACCUUGCAGGCGGAGGCCGACAAGCUGGAGGAGGAGCGCUCGGCGCUGCAGUCCGACAUCCGCCUCCUGCAGAAGGAGCGCGAGGACCUGGAGAGCGUCCUCAGCGCACACCGCGCGCUCUGCCGCCUGCCCCCCUCCACCGAGGAACCCGACGGCUCCCCGACUCCUGCAGGAGACCCCCAGGACCUCCUGGAAGAGCAGCGGCAGCAGGAGCGGCGGCGGCGGCGAGGGGAUACCCCCCGGGGUCCCGACCCGACCCCCCUCGUCGCCGUGAAGCUGGAGCCCACGGAACUUGCGGAUGAGGUGGCGAGGAACCGCGCGUCGCGUCUCUCCUCGCCCGAGCACCCGGGCGGGGAGUCCCACUCGUGCGCCACCUCCUACCGGCGCGGCAGCGCGGGUGGCGGCCAGGGCAGCCUGAGGAGCGCCGGUCGGGGCGAAGCGGCGGCGGGCGCGCUCGGGUCGCGAACGCUGCUGGCGCUCUAGCGAGGAGAGGGGGGGGGGGUACACGGGGGGGGGGGGGGUGUCGCGUUUACACGAGUCGAGUGCAGCAGGGCUUCUUAGUUUCAGCUGGGGCUGAGCUGCGGAAAAUAUUUCAUGAGAAAUGAAGCCUUUGCCUGGAUGUGUGGUGGUGAUGAUGAUGGCGCGGUGGUGUUGUUUUAUAAUGGAGACGAAUUAUUGAGAAGUGUGGUGGGGGAGGGGGGGCAAAGCGCCUCCUCGCUCAAAGUCAGGGCCGGCGGUCGAGACGCGUGACGGAGUGGCAGCCGAGGGAUGAAACGCGUCAGUGAGGUUCUACCACCGGGGAGGAGAUGGAGCGAUGAAAUCCCGCCCCCCCUCCUCCCCUCCUCCGUUGUGGGUUUCUCUCGGUGGAUUGUUACAUCGCCGGAUCGUGAGAGGUGGGGACGGCAGCUCGGGGGAGGCGUUCAUCCAGCGGUGGAUUGAACAUGGCCGGUGAUUAUUUGCUGUAACAAUCACAAUCACGCGUCGCCGUCUGUUUGUAAAGCUAAAAGGGAGAACGCAUUCCAAAGGCCAAACUUCUGACCUGUUCGUGCAGUGCGUGUGCGCGUUUGUUUUCUAUGUAAUACGUUAUGUAGUGUACGCUUAAUUUGCUUACAAGCGGGGAGGGAGAGAGGUGGGGGGGGGGGUCAUAAUCUUUAUUGAUGAAUGAUGGCGGCAAUGAGGAGUCUCGUGCUGAUUGGAGUGAAUUAGUCAUCCGUGCGGAGGAGAUAGCGCACCGAUUCUAGGGGCGCGUGCUGAGUCAGCGGGGCUGACGCCGUUUCGCCUGACGACUGGAAGACGGACGGGAUAGUGGUGGGGGGCCGUGGCGUAUGAUGAUUACCGUAUUCUCUACAGUAUAAAGACCCCCCCCCUGUAUUUGAAAGCAAAGGCUGUGGUAGGGGACCGUGGCGUAUGAUGAUUACCGUAUUCUCUACAGUAUACAGACCCCCCCCCCCUGUAUUUGAAAGCAAACGCAGUGGUGGGGGACCGUGGCGUAUGAUGAUUACCGUAUUCUCUACAGUAUACAGACCCCCCGCCCCUGUAUUUGAAAGCAAACGCUGUGGUGGGGGACUGUGGCGUAUGAUGAUUACCGUAUUCUCUACAGUAUAAAGACCCCCCCCCCCCUGUAUUUGAAAGCAAAGGCUGUGGUGGGGGACUGUGGCGUAUGAUGAUUACCGUAUUCUCUACAGUAUACAGACCCCCCCCCUGUAUUUGAAAGCAAACGCUGUGGUGGGAGACUGUGGCGUAUUAUGAUUACCGUAUUCUCUACAGUAUAAAGACCCCCCCCCCCCUGUAUUUGAAAGCAAACGCUGUGGUGGGGGACCGUGGCGUAUGAUGAUUACCGUAUUCUCUACAGUAUAAAGACCCCCCCACCCUGUAUUUUGAAAGCAAACGCUGUGGUGGGGGACUGUGGCGUAUGAUGAUUACCGUAUUAUCUACAGUAAAAAGACCCCCCCCCCCGUAUUUGAAAGCAAACGCUGUGGUGGGGGGCCGUGGCGUAUGAUGAUUACCGUAUUCUCUACAGUAUACAGACCCCCCGCCCCUGUAUUUGAAAGCAAACGCUGUGGUGGGGGACCGUGGCGUAUGAUGAUUACCGUAUUCUCUACAGUAUACAGACCCCCCCCCCUGUAUUUGAAAGCAAACGCUGUGGUGGGGGACCGUGGCGUAUGAUGAUUACCGUAUUCUCUACAGUAUACAGACCCCCCCCCUGUAUUUGAAAGCAAACGCUGUGGUGGGGGACCGUGGCGUAUGAUGAUUACCGUAUUCUCUACAGUAUACAGACCCCCCCCCCCCUGUAUUUGAAAGCAAACGCAGUGGUGGGGGACCGUGGCGUAUGAUGAUUACCGUAUUCUCUACAGUAUACAGACCCCCCGCCCCUGUAUUUGAAAGCAAACGCUGUGGUGGGGGACCGUGGCGUAUGAUGAUUACCGUAUUCUCUACAGUAUACAGACCCCCCGCCCCUGUAUUUGAAAGCAAACGCUGUGGUGGGGGACUGUGGCGUAUGAUGAUUACCGUAUUCUCUACAGUAUAAAGACCCCCCCCCUGUAUUUGAAAGCAAACGCUGGGGUGCGUCUUGUAAUACGGUAGCUGUGUGUAAGACGAUGUUUGUGGAACGGUAAUGGCACCGAGGGACACAGGUUUGGAGUGCGUCUCACUUUUUUGUCGGCGACUCUUGUAAUGCAGAGAACACGAUCAUUCUUAGGCACGUUCACGAUGUGGCAAUUGAUCGAUUGGAAUCGAUUCGCGAGAUACGUGGAACCGAAUGGCGCGAGUGUAGAAUGUCUUAAAGAGCGUGCAGUGUUUAGAAUGUAUGCGGAUGUCUUUGCUGAUGCUACGUAGUAUACAGUUCUCGUGCAAGCGGACGAGUCCCCGGUGAGACUUGAUUUACAGAGAAAAAUGCAAACGAGACGAUACGAAACGAGUCCGGGAAACGUCCCCAGUGGGCGAAGAGGCUGUUGCAAUUGAGCGUUUCUAUUAAAUAGCUCUUCUGAGA